ACAGACUGACAGCCUGGACUGCUCAGGAGCAUUUGAUUUCAGUCAGGAAGACAUGCCACAAAUUAGAAGAUGGUGGUGUCAUCUCUUACUUUGCAAAGCCAGCAUUAAAG